CUAGCUCUGGGGGAAGAAGCAAGUGAGCCAUGUUAUGAGUAGUCCUAUGGAGAAGCCCAUGUGCCAGAGAACUGAUGUCUCCAGCCAACCAGUGAUGAAGACCUGAGCCCCGCCAAUACCCAUCAUGCAGGAUCUUAGUUCCCCAGCCAAGGAUCAAACCCGUGCCCCCUGCAGUGGAAGCGUGGAGUCCUAACCACUGGACCACCAGGGAAUUCCCGAUUGUGAGAAUUUUUAAAGAUUUUUUUAAAUUAAAAAAGUUAACCUAUGUAGCAUGUGGGGCGCGUAAUAGAUGCUAAAAACUAAGUAAAGAAACAAAUGUCUUCCUUCCUUGCUUUGAGGGAGGGUUCCUAAAUGGGCAGAAGUUUCACCUGACACGAUGAAGCUGAGUAUCCAGGACAGUGGAGAGAGCAGAAGCUCGGAGCGAAUUUGCAACAGGCAGCAUCUAACAGCCUGGACUCUGGCUGGUGAGCACCUCCCUUCCCCUGACCCUGGAGGACAGUUCUCCUUGGGAAGCCAGUGUCCAUCCUCCCAGAGCCCAGGGAGCCUGGGACUAGAGCAUGAUGGGUAAGGAGAAAGACGCUGGUGACAGCCAGAUGUACCAUCUCAAGGGGCCAAAUGAUCACACCAGCAAGAUCAGGGCCCUGUUUCCCCUGGACAGAUCUAGGGCUUAUGAUCUGUGCUUUCCAGUCCCUAUACAGAGAAAAAAAAAAACCCUCUUAUUCCCACAAUCUUUCUUCAGUUGUGUUAGCCUCAGGCACAGGGAGGUCUGUCUAUAGCUGUGUGACCUUGGGCAAGUCAUGUAACCUCUCAGGGCUUCAGCUGGUCCAUCUGCAAAAUGGGAACUGUAACUGUCACACCUCACAGGGUAGAUGCGGGCCUUAAGGGAGAAUGUAUGUGAAGUGCUAAUCACAGUGCCAACCCAUGUUCAGCUGAAUAAAUAAAUGUGCGCUGUUAUUAAAUAUUAAUAUCAGGUCUGCUUGGAUGUCCAGCCCUGCUUCUGCAGCUCUGACCAGCUGUCCUUCAACGGACAUCCACAGAGCUCUUACCUCAUCUGGUCCAGGGAUCUUCCUUGUUUAACCUGAUUGCCAGGUUCUGUGGCCUCACCCUGCACCCCAGCUGCUGGCUGCACCUGGCCACACUCCCAGAGCACAUCCUUCCAGGACUGCCUAGGUCCACUGGAGCUCUUGGGUCAUCCUCGCCUCACCUGGAAUUGGGGAGGGCCCUUGUGGGAGGAAGGGGAGGGUCACAGCCACUUCACUGUCUCCCCUUCUCCGCUCCUGCCCCCACGAUCUUUUCACCACCCAUUGGGGUCUUUGUGAAAUGGAAAUGACAACACCCCACUCUCCUGCUUGAAACCCUCCAGUGGCUUCUUCUCACGCUUAGAACAAAUCCAAACUCCCCCCUCGGCUGACAAGGUCCCGCUGAUCCGGUCCUGUCCACCUUGCAGCCUCAACUCAUCACACAUGCCCCCUGGCCAGGCUGACCCGUGGAUUCGCCAAACUCAUUCCAGCCUCCAGACUUUGUCCUUGCUGUUCCCUCCACCUAGAACUCUUCCUCAGCUCUUGGCUGGACCUUAUCAGUCCUGGAGUGCCCUUCCUGGGGGAGAGGAGACCUCAUCCCUGAGCCCUGUGCCUUCCCCUGCGUCCAGAGCACCCAGUCUUCCUGUGGACAACGGGGGCUUGGAUGCCUUAAUGGCCUGGUCACAGCUGAUGCGGCAGAUCCAUGGAGUACAGAAGCAAACACCUGGAUUACAGCUCCCAGCCGAGAAUUCCCGCCUGCGCCCAGCUCCUG